GCAUCUAUACCGUGAAACUGCGAAUGGCUCAUUAAAUCAGUUAUCGUUUAUUUGAUAGUACCUUACUACUUGGAUAACCGUGGUAAUUCUAGAGCUAAUACAUGCUAAAAACCUCGACUUCGGAAGGGGUGUAUUUAUUAGAUAAAAAACCAAUGCCCUUCGGGGCUCUCUGGUGAUUCAUAAUAACUUAACGAAUCGCAUGGCCUUGUGCCGGCGAUGGUUCAUUCAAAUUUCUGCCCUAUCAACUUUCGAUUGUAUGGUCUUGGCUUACAAUGGUUUCAACGGGUAACGGGGAAUUAGGGUUCUAUUCCGGAGAGGGAGCCUGAGAAACGGCUACCACAUCCAAGGAAGGCAGCAGGCGCGCAAAUUACCCAAUCCCGACACGGGGAGGUAGUGACAAUAAAUACUGAUACAGGGCUCUUUUGGGUCUUGUAAUUGGAAUGAGUACAAUUUAAAUCCCUUAACGAGGAACAAUUGGAGGGCAAGUCUGGUGCCAGCAGCCGCGGUAAUUCCAGCUCCAAUAGCGUAUAUUAAAGUUGUUGCAGUUAAAAAGCUCGUAGUUGAACCUUGGGCCUGGCUGGCCGGUCCGCCUCACCGCGUGCACUGGUCCGGCCGGGCCUUUCCUCCUGGGGAGCCGCAUGCCCUUCACUGGGUGUGCCGGGGAACCAGGACUUUUACUUUGAAAAAAUUAGAGUGUUCAAAGCAGGCCUAUGCUCGAAUACAUUAGCAUGGAAUAAUAGAAUAGGACGUGUGGUUCUAUUUUGUUGGUUUCUAGGACCGCCGUAAUGAUUAAUAGGGAUAGUCGGGGGCAUCAGUAUUCAAUUGUCAGAGGUGAAAUUCUUGGAUUUAUUGAAGACUAACUACUGCG
rnacentral:rRNA from 1 species